GAGACAAGAUACCAAAAAACUUUAUGCGUUUACUUUUGUGCACUUUUUAGGUUAUAAAUAAGCAGAAAAAACAUAGCAACAGUUUAGUGAAAGAGUAACGGUGCGCACGCAAAACGUUCGUUGCCGGAUGAAAUACGCCAGGGACAAAUAAAAGCGAAAGAGAGGGAAAAAAGUGCACAACAAAUGCAGAAAACGCAGAGAAAAUAGCAAAAAGUUUGCGUACCAAAUUGGAAACGUAGCGUAAUGCGUAACUAAAUGAAGUAAUGAAAAGAUAAACCGACGCUGUCUUACACUUUGUGGUACAAAACAAAUUUCAACUUACCUCUCUAUAUUUAUAUACUGCAUUCUGGGCAUUUUAUUAUUGUUGCAAUACGGUGCUGGCUACAAGGUUUGAGUGCUGUGACAACGGCACGGCACGAAAGCAGUAAUGUCAACAUAAAAAGUGACGAAAGUUUGCUUUUUAGCGACACGAAAAGGGCAGCGACAGUCGCUAUCAUUGAAGUUGGACUGUUAAACUUACAGCAAAAUACCGUUAAAUGUAUUAAAGUUGCAAAAAAUUGCAAAUAAAUGGCUGUAAGAAAAACACAAGGGGCAACUUUAGUUACAUAAUCUAAGUAUAAUCAAGAAAACAUAAUGAGAUUGGGAAAAAGUGAGUUGAUUUAGUGAUUGAAAGUGAGCGCGAAAGUUAGAAUUGAAAUUAUGCGAGUAAAUAAAAGUGAGGAAUAAUAUUAUGCAAAUUUUUUUCGGUGAAUUUGUGAAGACUGAAAAGAGAAAAAAAAGCCAAAAGAAUUGUGAGUACAAGAAUCGUCUCAUAAGUUAGUGACAUUUAAAAUGCAACUUUGCCGCUGUCAACUGUCAACCGUUAACUGACAUCAUAAGCGACAUGGGAAUUAAAUAUAUAUCAUUUUAGUGUACAAGAAGACAGUGCGUAAUGAAAAUUUGAGUGAUAGAUUUAUGUGUGUAUGUAGAGAAAGUCACAGAGACCCAACUCUGAUGAAUUAGUUUCGUUUUAGACACAGUCAUAAAUUCGCUACCGAAAUUUAUGCAUAUUUUUUGAUAUUACUAAACUGCAGCCAGCUGCCACGAAGCUUUUCAUAAUGCAAUGCUGUGACUCACGUGUGGCGGUUGUAAAAUACUCUUGCUUAUUAAAGAGUUGAAUUAUGGCCAUAAUUGAAAGGUAAUUUUGAUGUAAAUAAAGCAACCGAUAUCGACCAGGUCAACCUGGCUAAUUUGUAAUAAAUCAAUAAGAGAGAGUGUAUUCACAUACGAAACGAUGUAUAUAGAGAUCUAAGUCACUAUCAUGAGACACUGAAUCUUGUUAUAAAGAUAGUUUUCCCAGUUAAGCACAGUCAUGGCUCAGCAGAAAAACAGCUCUUAGAUAAGACAAGGCCCACUGAGCUCAAAAUAAUAUCAUUGUGUACCAAAUUUAGCAUGAAUAGCAGUGUCUUGGGAACUACGUCAAUGUUGGCAGCUAUAAAUUUGGAAAAUAGGAGGAUUUUGUAUGAACCAGCAUAAAUACCACCAACAAUCUAAGCCCGCAGAUCAAGCACAAAAUAGCUCUUGCCAACAGGUGCUGCUUUAGGAUUGGUAGGAAAUUGAGAAACAGAUACAUCUCUCGACGAACAAAAAUUACGCUCUAUUAGUGUCUGUUCAUUACCGUUCUGGUAUAUGGCGUAGAAACAUGUACGAUGACAAACUGUCAUGAGACAACGCUUGGAAAAUUUGAGAGAACUGUUCUCCGCAAGGUCUUUGGACACAAUACGCGUGGGCGAUGAGUACCAACGAAAAUAGAACCAUGAACUACAUGAGCUCUACCGCAACAUGGAUAUAGUUAAGCGCAUAAAAAUUCAACGAAUGCGCUCGUAAUGCUCCAGUGAAAAGUUUAUUCGAUUCGAUGGAUGGACAACGGAAAAAAGGGCGCUCACGCAUCCAAUGGAAGGACCAAGUGAAUAGAAACCCAUCUCCACUAGGGAUGAACAACUGGCGAGAUCUCGCAAAGGAUAGAGGUAACUGGCCAAGUUUAGUAUUCCGGUGGUAGCACGAUGGUAGUGUCAAAGAAAAAGCAAAAGAGCUUUACAUACAGAUCAUCUCAACCAGUUUGGAGUUCGAACUUAAUUGUAAUUCCUAAAAAGAGUACUUGAGUUUUCCUGUAGUAUUACAAAAUGUCGUCCUAUGCAUUCAAUAAAGUUCGCGGUUGUUCGG